rnacentral:rRNA from 2 species
GCCAACGACCAUACCACGUAGGAACUACUGGUUCUCGUUCGAUCACCAAAAAGUCAAGCUACGUCGGGCACGGUUAGUACUUGGAUGGGUGACCGCUUGGGAACACCGUGUGUUGUUGGUU